UAGGAUUGCUUCUAGGGUUCCGAUCGCAUUAUUGUCGAUGACUGGUCCGAGAGAAGCCGCCGAUUGGGGUGUAUAGAUACCACUAAUUCGGUCACACGGCGGGAUAAAAGCCCGGGAGAA
rnacentral:sRNA from 2 species